AUUGAACGCUGGCGGCAGGCCUAACACAUGCAAGUCGAGCGAGCGGCGGACGGGUGAGUCCUGUCUGGGAACCUGCCAGAUGGAGGGGGAUAACUACUGGAAACGGUAGCUAAUACCGCAUACCAUCAGAUGUGCCCAGAUGGGGUUAGCUAGUAGGUUGGGUAACGGCUCACCAAGGCGACGAUCCCUAGCUGGUCUGAGAGGAUGACCAGCCACACUGGAACUGAGACACGGUCCAGACUCCUACGGGAGGCAGCAGUGGGGAAUAUUGCACAAUGGGCGCAAGCCUGAUGCAGCCAUGCCGCGUGUGUGAAGAAGGCCUUCGGGUUGUAAAGCACUUUCAGCGGGGAGGCGUUACCCGCAGAAGAAGCACCGGCUAACUCCGUGCCAGCAGCCGCGGUAAUAC
rnacentral:rRNA from 1 species